rnacentral:rRNA from 1 species
CGCUGGCGGCGUGCCUAACACAUGCAAGUCGAGCGAGGAGAUCCUUCGGGAUGAUCCUAGCGGCGACGGGUGAGUAACACGUGGGCAACCUGCCUCAUAGAGAGGAAUAGCCUUCCGAAAGGGAGAUUAAUACCUCAUAACAUUGCAGUUUCGCAUGGAACAGCAAUUAAAGGAGUAAUCCGCUAUGAGAUGGGGCCCGCGGCGCAUUAGCUAGUUGGUGAGGUAACGGCUCACCAAGGCGACGAUGCGUAGCCGACCUGAGAGGGUGAUCGGCCACAUUGGGACUGAGACACGGCCCAGACUCCUACGGGAGGCAGCAGUGGGGAAUAUUGCACAAUGGGGGAAACCCUGAUGCAAGCAACGCCGCGUGAGUGAUGACGGCCUUCGGGUUGUAAAGCUCUGUCUUCAGGGACGAUAAUGACGGUACCUGAGGAGGAAGCCACGGCUAACUACGUGCCAGCAGCCGC